CAGCAGCCACGGGAAUACGAAGGGGGCUAGCGUUGUUCGGAAUUACUGGGCGUAAAGCGCACGUAGGCGGAUAUUUAAGUCAGGGGUGAAAUCCCAGAGCUCAACUCUGGAACUGCCUUUGAUACUGGGUAUCUUGAGUGUGGAAGAGGUGAGUGGAAUUCCGAGUGUAGAGGUGAAAUUCGUAGAUAUUCGGAGGAACACCAGUGGCGAAGGCGGCUCACUGGUCCAUUACUGACGCUGAGGUGCGAAAGCGUGGGGAGCAAACAGGAUUAGAGACCCCUGUAGUCCCUGUCUCUUAUAC
rnacentral:rRNA from 1 species